UACGAAGGGGGCUAGCGUUGCUCGGAAUCACUGGGCGUAAAGCGCACGUAGGCGGAUUGUUAAGUCAGGGGUGAAAUCCUGGAGCUCAACUCCAGAACUGCCUUUGAUACUGGCGAUCUCGAGUCCGGGAGAGGUGAGUGGAACUGCGAGUGUAGAGGUUAAAUUCGUAGAUAUUCGCAAGAACACCAGUGGCGAAGGCGGCUCACUGGCCCGGUACUGACGCUGAGGUGCGAAAGCGUGGGGAGCAAACAGG
rnacentral:rRNA from 1 species